rnacentral:misc_RNA from 1 species
GAUGAAGAACGCAGUGAAAUGCGAUAAGUAAUGUGAAUUGCAGAAUUCAGUGAAUCAUCGAAUCUUUGAACGCACAUUUCGCCCGCCAGUAUUCUGGCGGGCAUGCCUGUUCGAGCGUCAUUUCAACCAUCAAGCCCCCGGCUUGUGUUGGGGACCUGCGGCUGCCGCAGGCCCUGAAAAGCAGUGGCGGGCUCGCUGUCACACCGAGCGUAGUAGCAUACAUCUCGCUCUGGGCGUGCUGCGGGUUCCGGCCGUUAAACCACCUUCAUAACCCAAGGUUGACCUCGGAUCAGGUAGGAAGACCCGCUGAACUUAAGCAUAUCAAUAAGCGGAGGA